AGUGAACGCUGGCGGUAGGCCUAACACAUGCAAGUCGAACGGCAGCACAGUAAGAGCUUGCUCUUACGGGUGGCGAGUGGCGGACGGGUGAGGAAUACAUCGGAAUCUACUUUUUCGUGGGUGAUAACGUAGGGAAACUUACGCUAAUACCGCAUACGUCCUACGGGUGAAAGCAGGGGAUCUUCGGACCUUGCGCGAUUGAAUGAGCCGAUGUCGGAGUAGCUAGUUGGCGGGGUAAAGGCCCACCAAGGCGACGAUCCGUAGCUGGUCUGAGAGGAUGAUCAGCCACACUGGAACUGAGACACGGUCCAGACUCCUACGGGAGGCAGCAGUGGGGAAUAUUGGACAAUGGGCGAAAGCCUGAUCCAGCCAUACCGCGUGGGUGAAGAAGGCCUUCGGGUUGUAAAGCCCUUUUGUUGGGAAAGAAAAGCAGCAGGUUAAUACCCCGCUGUUCUGACGGUACCCAAAGAAUAAGCACCGGCUAACUUCGUG
rnacentral:rRNA from 1 species